rnacentral:misc_RNA from 1 species
GAGCACCAACUUCCUUGAUUUCAGAACUGACCACUUCAUGCGUCGAUAGUAAGCAGCUUGAAGCAGAGCCAGUGACAAUACAAAUAUCCAUUUGAACCCCAUCAGCUUCCUCUCUUCCAUUUCAGGUUCUGCUGCCCAUGAUAAAAAUGAAACCACGUCCUUCCCCAUUUGUGCUUCAGUAGCAGGAGUGCCAUCUUCGUACUCCAAAGCACCAUCAAUAAGCAUUUUCGGCAUAGCAAUUGCACCGCCAGGAAAGUAGGGAUUGUAAUGCAGGCCUUCUCUAAUCGAAACACCUGCAGGAGGAUCACGGUAUCCUGUCAAAAGGGCAAAAACAUAGUUCUGGCCGUUGUGCCGUGCCUUCGUGAUCAGGCUAAGAUCCGGAGGAUAUGCCCCUCCAUUGGCAAAUCUUGCAGCUUGUUCGUUUGCAUAUGGUUGAGGGAAACGAUCACUUAAUU